AGGCCCAACAAAGGACGUCGCCUUGCCCCCUUUUGAGCCCCGCUUGGAGGCCCAAUCCCUCUUUUUCGGCUUAUGGUGGACCUCGACGCGGCCUUUUGUCGUGAUCGUCUCAUCUUCCCCGUUCGCGGGUGCUCAAUUGCUUUUAAUCGGAGGUUCUCUGUGUGUUAGGAGCACUUCUUUUCGAUCAUGGUGAAGAGCAUGGAUGGCAGCUUCCUGUUCACACCCCUUCAGGUUAUGUUCAGUCGUUGCGCAAAGACAAAACUGUCCAGAAACAAAUCAUCCAAGCAACCAUUUUGGGGGGUUUUCUAGCUCCGUAGAGUGGUGCGGAGUGUCAGCCAACACAGUAUGCAGGAGCUAGCGGGGUGGCACAUGGUUGGAUGGGCCUUUAGGUCCUGAAGGAACCAUAAAAUGUUUCAGGGAGGCUAACCCUUUGUGGAUAGACACGCAAUGGUGCCACACGAUUUAGGCACAACCAGCUAAGUUUGUGACGGAUGGUAUUAGAGUGGGAGAAAGAAGCACACUUAAAAACACUUGGUAUACAAACGUAAGAGACCUAACAAAGCUACAUUGGGGGUAGCUAGCAUGAAGAACGCAUAGCACACAAAGGUUAGGAUAGUUGAGUUUAAGCUAUGAAUCGAUGUUAGCAACUAAACUUGAUGGUGCUUAAGGCAAGUAGGACAUUUGGCAAAGGAUAAGAUAGUGCAAGGAGGGAUGGGUUACUUGGCAACCGAAAGAGUUGUACAAAGCUCAUAGAGGUAAAGAGGAAUUGUUAACUCAAAGAAUUCGGUACUCAUGCGAGAGCUUGUAUGCGAACAACGGACUGUCCGUGACCAUCACAAGGCGAUCAAAAUUUGGUGCCAUGAAGCAUGAAAACUCUCUUCAGCAUGGGAAGGAUACAUUCAUAUGAGGCUGAAGUAUAUGGUAGGUUUAACUUGUUGCUAGGCUUUGAGGGGCACAAUAGGGGCUGUAUUGACGAAGAGUCGUAAUCUAGCAAGUACGUUUACGGUGGCGAAAUAGCACACAGUUUGUUCAGUAAGGCAGAGUAGUCUAAGGGGAUGAUGGUCUUCAAAACUUUAGAGAGAAUGAUGCAAAGAGAAAAGUUACUCCAACGGGAUAGAUAUCUAGGUGGGAUAAGUCUUGUUCUUCCGAAAGAGAAUCAUGUGCAGCGAACCGCACAUGUUGUGGGGGUACCUUAAGACGACAACUCUAUAAAGCUUAAUGGAUUGAGCAAGCAGUGAUGAGUCAUUGCAUGAUCUCGCAUGAGGUAAUGCAUUGGUGGACGUAUUACGAGAUUAAGUAGGGGAGCAGCCUUAGAGAACACCAAACGAAGGCACAUUUAAAGCCGAUAUAAAGAUUGGACUCAAUGGAGGGUUGACCUGUCAUAUAGUGGGCGCGAGGGCCACCAUUAACUCAAUGCAUACUAAGGAGCAAAGCAAUUUGGGUGGAACUUAGUGAAGUGCCCAAGCCACAUGAAGGGAGUCGACAUAGAAGAUGAAACAUAGAAUGGAGGCGCAGAGCUUUUCUUGGAUAGAAGCCAAGGACAUGAACUCUUGUAGAGGCAAGAGCGAGAUUAUGUCAUUCCAUGGGUCCCUCAUUCUGAUGGAGCAGACUCAUCUUGCAUGGUGCCAAUGUCAGAGGGAGCUUCGAGGCACACACACUUUAUCUUGAUGAAACAAUUGAUGGAGGAACUAAGACAACUCAACUUGCGGAGGCGAAGUUGAGGUUAGAAGGGCUUGUCAUGAUGUAAGAGGAUGCAGAGAUAGGUACUCAUGAAGAAUAUGUCAUAGUGUUGCCAUUUGAGUUGCCGCAAAGGAAAUUGUGCAUAGUGAAGAUUGUGCUAGGGGCAGGGGUCGAGGAUCCAGAUAAUGACAUACCAAUUUCAGCAAAGUCGAUGGACUUCGAGAGCUACUAGGCAACAAACUAUCCUAGAGUUGUACUUCGUCCAUGUGUAACUCGAGAGCGGGUAGAUAAAGGUCGAUUGCCAAAGGAGUGAAUACAAUCGGAGGUGGCGAAAGCCCUGCGAUUGCUGGCAAAGGCCAUAUCUAGAGAGAUCGCAGUUCGAAUUUAUCCCACAAAGAUCAAAAUGCAAUAGAGAUAUUACCAGGAGGCGACAUAGUGCAACGGAUUGUGGUAAAACAAUUCAAGACAGUGUGACACGCACAUGGGAGAAGUCCCGUGAGGGACUUGAUCAUACAGAGGUAUAUCGGAGCGGCUAGAGAGUUAGACUGUUCUAGAGCUUAUAUUCGCUUGAGGGAGACCAACAAGUUAGAAGACAAGCUCGAGUGAGUGAACGUUGCUACCAAGGACACAAGGAAGAUUAUAAUCAGCGCAAGCCCUGCAACAUAAUGAUAGAGGCUAUGUAUGAGAGUUAUAGUCUUUCUUUCUAUCAACCAAGGGAAACUACUUGGAGAACACAAAGGUGUUAAAGUAGGGGGUCGAAAGGGGCAAGAAAGCAAUGAUGAGUCU